rnacentral:Y_RNA from 1 species
GGCUGGUCCAAAGGUAGUGAGUUAUCUCAAUUGUUCACAGUUGAACUCCACAUUCCACUCUCCCUGCUUCUCACUGUUGUACUUGACUAGUCUUUA